GUUGGUUUGUUGAAUUUUAGGAAAAAUCGCCCAAGAACAUUCAAAAGUGUUUAGGAUAUUAUUAAGGCUUUUAGGGUAUUUUAAUCUGGUUUUGGAAAGGAGAGUUCGUUAGAGUAAAAGGGAUAAAGGCUUGGUCAAAAUCCGAUAGCAUUUAUUGCUAUAGGAUUAGUCAGAGUGUUUUGGGGAAAAGGUUUGGAGGUUAUCAUGACGAAAAGGAGCGGCUACCUAUGUCACAAUUGUAUUUAUUUUUGUCUUAAUAUUAGGGCAUGGAAUCGAUUAGGAUUGGGCCAUACAUGGGCCUGACCCGAAUUUUUCCUCAUAUCACCACGAGUUUACUGCUCCAACCCCUUUGCUCAUUGGGAUCUAGUGGGCUUUAUGCUUUUGAGCCCACUCUGUUUCAAUAAUUUUUUUUAUAUGUUAUAUAUUCUUUUAUUAAUUAAAACAUGGUUAAGUUGA